GUGUCAGCCGCCGCGGUAAUACAGAGGGUGCAAGCGUUAAUCGGAAUUACUGGGCGUAAAGCGCGCGUAGGUGGUUUGUUAAGUUGAACGUGAAAUCCCCGGGCUCAACCUGGGAACUGCAUCCAAAACUGGCAAGCUAGAGUAUGGUAGAGGGUGGUGGAAUUUCCUGUGUAGCGGUGAAAUGCGUAGAUAUAGGAAGGAACACCAGUGGCGAAGGCGACCACCUGGACUGAUACUGACACUGAGGUGCGAAAGCGCGGGGAGCAGACAGGGUUAGAUUCCCCGGUGGUCC
rnacentral:rRNA from 1 species